rnacentral:rRNA from 1 species
CAUGCCGUAAACGGUGGGCGCUAGGUGUAGGGGUCUUCCACGACUUCUGUGCCGCAGCUAACGCAUUAAGCGCCCCGCCUGGGGAGUACGGCCGCAAGGCUAAAACUCAAAGGAAUUGACGGGGGCCCGCACAAGCGGCGGAGCAUGUGGAUUAAUUCGAUGCAACGCGAAGAACCUUACCUGGGCUUGACAUGGACCGGAUCGGCGUAGAGAUACGUUUUCCCUUGUGGUCGGUUCACAGGUGG